UUUCCUCUUCGGAGGCACCUGCACAGGUGCUGCAUGGCUGUCGUCAGCUCGUGUCGUGAGAUGUUGGGUUAAGUCCCGCAACGAGCGCAACCCUUAUCCCCCAGUUGCCAUCAGGUAAAGCUGGGAACUCUGGGGAGACUGCCGGUGAUAAACCGGAGGAAGGCGGGGAUGACGUCAAGUCCUCAUGGCCCUUACAUCCCGGGCUACACACGUGCUACAAUGGCAGGUACAGAGGGCUGCGAAGCCGCGAGGUGGAGCGAAUCCCAGAAAAACCUGUCUCAGUCCGGAUUGAAGUCUGCAACUCGACUUCAUGAAGGCGGAAUCGCUAGUAACCGCGAAUCAGCAGGUCGCGGUGAAUACGUUCCCGGGCCUU
rnacentral:rRNA from 1 species